rnacentral:lncRNA from 1 species
UUUUUUUUUUUUUUGUCUUUUUAGGGCCUUACCCACAGCAUAUGGUGGUUUCCAGGCUAGGGGUCUAAUCAGAGAUGUGGCCGCCAGCCUACAUCACAAGCCACAGCAACAUCAGAUCCUAGCCAUGUCUGCCACCUACACCACAGCUCAUGGCAACACCAGAUCCUUAACCCAUUGAGCGAGGCCAGGGAUUGAACCUGAAUCCUCAUGGUUCCUAGUUGGAUUCAUUUCUGCGCCACAAUGGGAACUCCUGAAAUUUUUUUUAACUGCCAGCCUAUGCUACAGCCACAGCCACACAGAUCCUUAACUCGUUGAGCGAGGGCAGGGAUAGAACCCCCCGCAUCCUCAUGGAUAUUAGUCAGGUUCCUUUCCACUGAGUCACAGUGGGAAUUCCUCGAGUUUGCCUUAAACACGCACACAUACACAAAGCAGGAGAUGCAUAACGUUUUUGUAGAGUGAUUUUCAUCAGUAUCAGUUAUGGUGAAAGACAAAAAGGUUGCCUCUAGAUAUACUUCAGUUUCCUAGGAAAUUCCCUUGAGUAGAACAGUUCUUUUCUUGACAGUUCUUUUCCAGUGUUUCCUGGUGAGAUCUUAGGUCAGGUAUUCCUGUUCUUUGAGAGACAGCUCAGUGAACGAUGUUGUCUCUGUGUGUAAAAGAUGACCACUGCUGGCUCAUUAGACAAAGUGUCUCUAGACGGUGAACUCUACUUGCUUUAAUAAUGGAAACCACUUUCACAUUCUGAGCCGAGAGCUGUUAGUUGAGCCUGUUGAGCUGGACACAAGCUUAUUCUGGGAGCUCUUAAACCUUGCAUGCUAGAGAGAUGGCCAGUUCCGUUCCCACUGCCUCUUCUCAUGGUCGUUUCCUGUGUGAAUCAACAAAGGGCCUCCCUGGCCUUUUCAGUUUGAAUCAAGAAGCCCUUGGUGUUGUUGCAGAUCCGGCCAUGCUGGAUUACAUCUAUUACCCAUCUCAGUGAUCCAGCAAAAUAUCACGCUCACGUGUGUAGAUUACCUGUCAGUUCUGAUGCAUUCCUGACCACAACCCCACUGGUGUGAGGCUUAUUAGCACUUUUUUUUUUUUCCUAUUGGGGCUUCUUCACAUUCAGUAAAUUCUAUUGCCACAGAUGUAGGCACAAAAAUACAUUUCCAUGAAACAUGCAUUUGGAAUUCAAACAUGAAAUCAAGCAGGUAAAAGAACAUCAACUUUCAGCUCUAAGGAGGGGAAGCAGCGAUAUUUAGAAUCUGUUCCCUGCUCCCCAGCACAGAUGUCCAGACCUCAACAGGGGGUGGCUUCUCUCAGUAAGCUGUUUAAAAGGUCCCCUGGAGGAGUUCUCUGGUGGCCUAGCAGUUAAGGAUACAGCAUAGUCACUGCUGUGGCAGGGGUUCAGUCCCUGGCCUGGGAACUUCUGCAUGCCAUGGGCAUGGCCAAAAAAAAGUUUGUUUUAAUAAAAUAAAAGGUCUCCUGGAAACCUGUCUGAAGGCUUAGUGAUCUUCACAGGAAGCCUUCCUUCUUAAAGAGGGGCCCAAACUCUUCUCCCUUCAGUGUCUACUUCUAAUCUCAUCCCAAGGUCUCUGCUCCCUCCAGCUGGAUAGGCUGUAACGUGAGCUCUUGGACUGUUGCUCAGUUCAGCCCCAUAACCUGUUCCUGUUCCAUUGUUCCAGCUGAGGAAAUGAUACCCUGAUCCACUUGGGAGUCCAAGACCCAGGGGUGCACUUUAUCCUCAUGUAAUCUGUUAAAUCUGUGCAGGUCCUGUCUCCUGAAAUUUGUCUUGAAUUCACUCACUUCCUAUGUUCACCACCAUAGUGGUCUGAACACAUCCUCUCUUCUCCCACUUGGAUUAUUAGAGUCUCUGAACUUGUCUCCUCCCACACCCACGCCCCCUCCACGUGCCCUUCUCCCUGCACAGCUGGAGCUGUCUUACAAAGGCUUAACCUGAUCUCAUCACCGUCUUCCUCAGAACCUUCUCAGAGCUCUUAGGAUAAAGUACAAAAUAGGAGUUCCCACAGUUUCGUCGUAGCUCAGUGGUUAACGAAUCUGACUAGCAUCCAUGAGGAUGCAGGUUCGAUCCCUGGCCUAGCUAAGUGGCUUAAGGAUCCGGUGAUGCCAUGAGCUAUAGUGUAGGUUGCAGAUGCAGCUCGGAUCUGGCAUUGCUAUGGCUGUGGUGUAGGCCGGCAGCUGUAACUCCGUUUGACCCCUAGCCUGGGAACCUCC